GCCCGGGUGUUGAAAUUGGUAGACAUUAGUCCUUGAGGUGGACUAGCCCUUAUGGGCGUGCAGGUUCGAGUCCUGUCCCGGGCACCA
rnacentral:tRNA from 1 species